rnacentral:rRNA from 1 species
GACGAACGCUGGCGGCGUGCUUAACACAUGCAAGUCGAACGGAAAGGCCCCUUUGGGGGUACUCGAGUGGCGAACGGGUGAGUAACACGUGAGUAACCUGCCCUUGACUUCGGGAUAACUUCAGGAAACUGGGGCUAAUACCGGAUAGGAAUCCUUGCUGCAUGGUGGGGGUUGGAAAGCUUCGGCGGUUUUGGAUGGACUCAUGGCUUAUCAGCUUGUUGGUGGGGUAGUGGCUUACCAAGGCUUUGACGGGUAGCCGGCCUGAGAGGGCGACCGGCCACAUUGGGACUGAGAUACGGCCCAGACUCCUACGGGAGGCAGCAGUGGGGAAUAUUGCACAAUGGGCGGAAGCCUGAUGCAGCAACGCCGCGUGCGGGAUGACGGCCUUCGGGUUGUAAACCGCUUUCAGCAGGGGCGAAGCUUGUGGUGACGGUACCUGCAGAAGAAGCACCGGCUAACUACGUG